rnacentral:rRNA from 1 species
UACAGAGGGUGCAAGCGUUAAUCGGAAUUACUGGGCGUAAAGCGCGCGUAGGCGGCUGUCUAAGUCGGAUGUGAAAUCCCCCGGGCUUAACCUGGGAACUGCAUUCGAUACUGGGCGGCUAGAGUAUGAGAGAGGGAGGUAGAAUUCCACGUGUAGCGGUGAAAUGCGUAGAUAUGUGGAGGAAUACCGGUGGCGAAGGCGGCCUCCUGGCUUAAUACUGACGCUGAGGUGCGAAAGCGUGGGGAGCAAACAGG